rnacentral:rRNA from 1 species
UACGGAGGGUGCAAGCGUUAAUCGGAAUUACUGGGCGUAAAGUGUGCGCAGGCGGUUUGUUAAGUCCGUUGUGAAAGCCCCGAGCUCAACUUGGGAAUUGCAGUGGAUACUGGCAGGCUGGAGUACGGUAGAGGAAGGUGGAAUUCCCGGUGUAGCAGUGAAAUGCGUAGAUAUCGGGAGGAACACCGGUGGCGAAGGCGGCCUUCUGGACAGUGACUGACGCUGAGACGCGAAAGCGUGGGGAGCAAACAGG